rnacentral:ncRNA from 1 species
UUUCACUAGGGGAGCUAUCGGAUGGCUGAGAGGAGCGUUAUUGUUCUGACCCUUUGAACCCGAUCUAGGUAAUACUAGCGUGGGGAAGUGUUG